AGAGUUUGAUCCUGGCUCAGAACGAACGCUGGCGGCGUGGCUAAAACAUGCAAGUCGAACGCGAAAAUUCCCUUCGGGGAAUGAUUAGAGUGGCGAAAGGGCGAGUAAUGCAUGGGUAACGUACCCUGGUCAUGAGGAUAGCUGCGGGAAACUGCAGGUAAUACUCAAUAAGACCACAGUGUCAUAUGGCACAGUGGUCAAAGGCGGGGAUCCCUUCGGGGACCUGUCGGACGAGGAGCGGCCCAUGCCCUAUCAGCUUGUUGGUGAGGUAAAGGCUCACCAAGGCUACGACGGGUACCGGGACUGAGAGGUUGAUCCGGCGCAUUGGGACUGAGACACUGCCCAGACUCCUACGGGAGGCUGCAGUAACGAAUAUUUCGCAAUGGGCGCAAGCCUGACGGAGCGACGCCGCGUGUAGGAUGAAGCCCCUCGGGGUGUAAACUACUGUCAGGGACUACCAAGCGAAGGGGGUUAAUACCUCCCGGAGUUGAGGAAUCCCAAAGGAAGCCACGGCUAACUUCGUGCCAGCAGCCGCGGUAAGACGAAGGUGGCGAGCGUUGUUCGGAAUUACUGGGCUUAAAGAGCAUGUAGGCGGCCUGUCAAGCGUCUUGUGAAAUCCCUCGGCUCAACCGAGGAAUUGCUUGGCGAACUGAUAGGCUUGAGGCAGGUAGAGGCGUGUGGAACUCUUGGUGGAGCGGUGGAAUGCGUAGAUGUCAAGAGGAACGCCGGAGGCGAAAGCGAUACGCUGGGCCUGUCCUGACGCUGAGAUGCGAAAGCCAGGGUAGCAAACGGGAUUAGAUACCCCGGUAGUCCUGGCCCUAAACGAUGUCAACUAGGCCGGAGGUUCUCUGACGGAGUUCCGGCCGAAACGAAAGCGAUAAGUUGACCGCCUGGGGAGUACGGUCGCAAGGCUAAAACUCAAAUGAAUUGACGG
rnacentral:rRNA from 1 species